rnacentral:rRNA from 1 species
GACAGAGGAGCCAAGCGUUGUCCGGAUUGACUGGGCGUAAAGCGCACGCAGGCGGGUGCGCACGUGGGGGGUGAAAUCGGCGCGCUUAACGCGCCAUCGCCAUCCCAUACGGCGCGCCUGGAGCCUUGCAGAGGGCGGUGGAAUUGCCGGUGUAGUGGUGAAAUGCGUAGAUAUCGGAAGGAACAUCAGUGGCGAAAGCGACUUCCUGGACCAGUACCGACGUUCAGGCACGAAAGCGUGGGGAGCAAACAGG